UCUCCUCUCUCUCUCUCUCUCUCUCUCUCUCCUCGCGUCGGCCCCCGUACCGCCCCCGAAACCCUAGCUAGGUUUUGAUCCCUCAUCCAAACCCUAAUCUCGCCCCGCUUGAGCGAGCGAGCGAGCGAGCGAUCGAGCGAUCGAUACCCUCUUCCAUCUAGGGUUUCGAUUCUCCGAUCGAUUUCUACCCCGCUUUCCCCUCCGAAUCGCGCAUCCGAUCCCUAGGGCUUCGCUCGGAGGUCGCGAUCCAUGGCGGAUCGGGGCGUCGGCGGCGCGGGGGCGGCGGCGCCGAAGCCGAUCUGGGCGAAGCAGGCGGAGGAGGCGAAGCUGAAGAGCGAGGCGGAGAAGGCGGCCGCGGCGAAGGCGGCGUUCGAGGCCACCUUCAAGGGCGUGGACAAGCCCGAGGGCGGCGACGACGGCGGCGGCGACGACGACUCCGACUCCGAGGGCGACGACGACGGCCAGGACCUCUCCUCCAAGCCCCUCGGCCCCGUCGACCCCUCCCGCUGCUCCGCCGCCGGCGCCGGCGUCGCCGGGGGCACCGCGUGCGCCCCCGCCACCUUCGUCGUCGUCACGAAAGACUCCGACGGCCGCAAGGUCCCCAGCGGCGGCGCCGAGGUCAAGGUGAGGGUCUCCCCCGGCGCCGGCGUUGGCGGCGCCGAUCUCGACGGCAUGGUGAAGGACCAGGGCGACGGGACCUACGCCGUCACCUACGCGGUGCCGAAGCGCGGCAACUACAUGGUGCACGUGGAGUGCGACGGUAAGCCUAUCAUGGGGAGCCCGUUCCCCGUGUUCUUCAGCGCCGGCACGGUUAUCGGCGCGGCCGGCUUGCCGAGCGCCGCGGCGAGCCAGUUCCCCGGCAUGGUGAACCAGACCAUGCCCAACAUGCCCAAUUACUCCGGUUCGGUCUCGGGGGCGUUCCCCGGGUUGCUCGGCAUGCUCCCGGGCGCACUCCCGGGGUCUUCGGGCGGCGUCGUGUUGCAGGGGGUCGGGGCGGCGCUGGGGGAGAUCUGUAGGGAGUAUUUGAGUGGGCGGUGUGCGAAGACUGAUUGCAGGUUUAACCAUCCACCGCAUAAUCUUCUGAUGUCGGCGUUGGCCGCGACGACGGCGAUGGGCACGCUGAGCCAGGCGCCGAUGGCUCCGUCGGCGGCCGCAAUGGCAGCUGCGCAGGCGAUUGUCGCGGCCCAGACCCUGCAGGCGCACGCCGCCAAGAUGCAGGCCCAGUCCCAUUCUUCGGGAGAUGCAUCUGCUUCACCUGAUGGGGAGAAAAAAGCUGAUGCUUUGAAGAAAACAGUACAAGUUAGUAAUCUUAAUCCGCUUCUCACAGUGGAUCAGCUCAAGCAGCUCUUUGGUUACUGUGGUACUGUUGUUGACUGUAUCAUCACAGAUUCGAAGCACUUUGCAUACAUAGAGUACUCUAAGCCUGAAGAAGCGACUGCAGCUCUGGCUCUGAAUAACAUAGACGUGGGAGGCCGGCCACUGAAUGUCGAGAUGGCGAAAACCCUUCCGCCAAAGUCUGUUAUUGUUAACCCAUCAUUGCCUUUGAUGAUGCAGCAAGCUGUUGCUUUGCAACAGAUGCAAUUUCAGCAGGCUCUGUUGAUGCAGCAAACUAUAGCUUCUCAGCAAGCUGCUGCUCGAGCAGCUACGAUGAAAUCUGCGACGGAGAUUGCUGCAGCCAGAGCUGCAGAGAUAAGCAGAAAGCUGAAAGCAGAGGGUGGUAUAGCAAGUGAUGAUAAAGAAACUAAUAAAAAGUCGAGGUCGCCAUCUCCCCCGAAACCAAGGUCCAAGUCUCGGUCUAGGUCACCUAUCAAAUUCCGCCGAAGCAAGUCUCGGUCUAGAUCACCUAUUAAAUAUCGCCGAAGCAAGUCUCGGUCUAGGUCACCUAUUAAAUAUCGCCGAAGCAAGUCUCGGUCUAGGUCACCUAUUAAAUAUCGCCGAAGCCGGCGGUCCCGUUCUUUCUCCCCACCAGCUCGGUACUCCCGUGAUCAUAGGUCGCGGUCACCAAUAAGAUCUCACUAUUCGAGUCAGAGAACUGAAAGAUUAUACAGAGAUGAUCGCGACAGCCACAGCCGAUCUGAAAGGAAAGAGCACAAAAGCUCCCGUGAUCAUUAUUCCUCUAGUUCAAGAAGGAAUAGAAGCAGAAGUGCAAGUCCUAGGGCCAAAAAAUCGUCCCGAGCUGAGUCUAAAUCUCCAAAGCAUUCUUACAAGGAUAGCUCUUCUCGCCGUGGUCGGCAUUCCCGUUCCAGAUCUCCAGAGAGAAAGCAUCAUCACCAUAGUAGUAAAGACGAUAACAGAAAAUCUGAAAAGCAUCGAAGUAGGCACUCCAGGUCAAGAUCUCCAGAAAAGAUUAGUAAAGAAGAUAGUAGAAAAUCAGAAAAACAUCACAGUAGGCGUUCCAGAUCGAGGACACCAGAAAAGGCACAUCAUCAAAGUGAUAAAGGGAGUAGCAGAAAAUCUGAAAGAAAGGAGGAAGAAAGAAGUUCUGAAAGAAUUAGCACUGACACUAAGGAUAGAAAAUUAGAUUCAUCUGAAGUUGGCCGCAAAAGGAGUCCCUUAUUAGGAGAGAAUGAAGUUCUAGAACUUGAAGAAACAAGUAAGAAGAAUAAAAAGUCUAAGGUGGAUGAUCAAAGUUCUGAGGGAAACCAUGUUGAGAUGAAGGAUCAGAAGCUAUCAGGGGAAGAUGUUGAGCUGAAUGAAGAUAAAAAGUCUUUGCGUUCUCCGACAUCAAAAGCGCAUAAAAAGAAUUUUGUUGAUGAAGAUGAUAAUGACAAAAAGAGUAGACAUUCAAGCAGGCAUGAUAAGUCCAGAGCAGACCAUCGUAGGAGACAUGACAAAUAUGAUUCUUCUUCUAGGGAUAUAGAUUCAUCAAGACACUCAAGGGAUGAUAAGAGGUCUUCACAUAACUUGAGUUCAAAAUCUCAUAGAAGUUCACGACAUUCACGGGAACGAUCCUCGAGGGAUACUGUAGAUCACAAAUCGGAGAAAUUGAAACAGGAUUGUGGGAAUUUGGAAGAUCGGAAAAAGAAUGAGGGGCUUGAGCAGGAUAAUGGGAAUUUGAAAACUGAUAUUGUGGCUAAGACUAAAGAAAAUAAUGAUGUGCUAAAGGGUGACAUCAUUGUUGAGAAGACAAUAAGUAAUUUUGAUGCAUCUGAGAACAAUGGAAUGCCUAUUGGAAAAGGUGAUAACAGGGAACCAAGUUAUGCAGCAUUAGAGUUAGAAAAUAUGGAAACUUACGAUGCAAUGACAGUGAAAGAUGAUUUUAGACCAGAGCUGAAAGACAUCGGAAACAGCGAACUAGCAGAACCAGCUCGUAAAAAGGCUAGGUAUGUGGAGAAUAUCAAUCAGGAAACAACGUGUAUUGAAGAUGGUACAUCAUUUGGAGAGAAAGAUGUAGUCAUCAAGGAACUAGCUAAUAGUGGUUAUGAAUCUGAUGAGCGAAGGGAACAUGGAAGCUCUGUGGAUUCAAUGAGAAGGUCAAAUACUGCUAGUCCUGAAAAUUCAGAAUUUCGUGGAAUAUCGAAGUUAGAGUCUACAGAGGUGAAUGAGAGUUUUUCCUUGCUGGAAAAGCCCAAGGAUUUAAAGAGUAAUGACAUAUUAGAAGACGAGACACGGGAUUGAGGAGCUCACUUCCCCUCCAUGAGCCAAAUCAGAGGAAUUAUACACAUGCAGACAUCAACUACAGUAGUGAACUUUGACUCUUACCUUAGUUUUCUUUGCAGGUAAUGAAGAUCUUGGAAGAGCAUGGGUAACAAAGGGACAAAGGGGGAAGUCAAUUUGUUUGAUCGAAUUUGUAUCAACGGAGCUCAAGGAUGAGCAAUUAAACCUUAAGACUUCAAAGCCUUUUAUUCUCUAGGAAAUUCUUCUUCUGAUAAGCUGAACUGAUGUGGGUUUUAUAGGUCCAAUUUGUUGUAUGUUUGUCCUUGCAGGUGUGUAACGACCUGGAACACAUCUGAGAGUGGGCGGAGAUCGUUUGAAGUACAAUGAGUACAUUCCUGUUUCAGAUUACGAGUCAAUAUUGUUGAACUGUAACGAACUUAUUCCUGGAUAUUCAUUUGAGAGGCUCAGCAUAAUGGGACUGGGUAACCUGAGAAACUUUUUUCUUCACUACCAACAUGAUAUCUGCCUUCCCUUAGUUGUUUUCCAAGAUAAGCAGUACAACUUUAAGAUUUUCUGUUUUGAGAUUGCUCUGCAUUAUUUACUUCGCGGGUUUGGUAGAAAAAUGGGUUCAAUACAGGCCAUUAUAAAGCAUGCAACUCAUGCAGCUUCAGUAGCGUGAUUGUUGCUAUCAUAUCAGAUACAUGCAGGUUUUUAAAACUGGCUCGCCGUUUGGGCAUUCUCAGAGCAAGUUUGCUGAGUUUUCUUUUGGAACAGUCAAGAGGUAUGGAGAUGAAGAUCAAUAUUACAAGUUUGGUGAGUACUGGAUCUUUUGUACAAAGAAAAGUUUAGCUGUUCAGUUUGAAAAUUUAUACAUAGACAUUGCUCUAUCUUUACGACAAGUGAUGACCUCUACUUCCUUUAGCUUUUCUUUUUUUCUUUUUUCUUUUUUUUUUUUCCUUUUUCAGUUCUACUAGGUAAACUGACGAGGUUAUAGAAAGUAGGUGAACUGCAGGAUCAAACUAAAAGCUGCUGGACCAUGCCUUGUUUGAAUCUCUUUAACAUUUUUUGCUGUGUUCCAUGAAGCUAAAUGCAUUUGAUUAACAAUUAUGUGUUGUGAAUUCCUAUUAUUUAUUGAAUGUUUUGCUUCUUAAUAGGGUUGUAAGACAAUAUGCUAUUGCCAAUUUUGACUGAUCGAAUGCCUAGUUAAAUUAUUACA